rnacentral:lncRNA from 1 species
AUUCUCUACAAAUUUGCAGAAGAAAGUUUUUCCAAAUUCCAAACAGAAAUUGACCAAAAUCCAUAAACGGACGAUUUUACAGUCUAUAAUCAAUUUUCGGUCAAGAAUUGUGUCCACCGACACACAAAACAUGUGUUAAACAUUUAAUGCCACAAAAUACUCUACCUCCUCAUAUACUCAUAUAUCCCACAUUCAUUAUAAAAA